AGGCGCUGUACGGGGGAGGAGAGGCGGCCCAGGGUAUUUCCCAUGGCCCCCGCCGCAGGUCUGGGGGCUACUUUUGUGGAUAGAAGUCGGUCGGGUGGCUGACAGGGCGGGGGGCUUUCGGGAGCCGAAGGUUCAGCCCCACUUGGCGUCCCAGCGGCUCCGGCGCCUCUGGCUGGGGGCCUUCGGGAAGGCCGGCUCCGGCCGGGAGGUGCCCGGCGGUCCCGCCCACUCUUCUAGAAGUAGCAGAACCGCUUUCCUGAAAAAGGGAGCGGGCAGAAGGGCGCGCAGGUAGGGCGGCUGGGGGCGGAAAAGUCCUCUGGAGAGCUUAGGUGGUGAGGGCGAAGAUGAGCAUAAUUGAAAGAUCCGCCCUGCGUCCGGGAGGCUGCUGAAGUUUUUAUUCUCUGCUUUCUGGAACCCCGAGAGGCUGGCAUUAAAAAUUGAGGUUCGUUCUUCCCAACUCAAGAAUGGUGACGGUGAGGCCUGCAGAUCCAGGAGAAACAGCAAAAUUAGCGUCUUUCUAGAAAAGUGUUGCUCCCAGGAAACAUCCUGACCAGGCCCAGCUGUGAAGGACUACGGGAAGGAAGACAAGAACACACCCUCUCCCAAGGCGGACCUGGACCAGCAAGAACAGGCGCGCGAUCCUCCACGCAGCAUGGAAGUGUGUCCUUACUGUAAGAAGCCGUUUAAGCGCUUGAAGUCCCACUUGCCGCACUGUAAGAUGCUACGACCACCUGUGCCUGCUGAUCAGGAUGUUUGUCAGUCCAAGCCGGCUGCACUCCCACAUGCUAAGAAAGUCAAAGGGCCGGUCAGAGACCCAAUUAAAGCUAGAGAGAGAGAGUUAGGGACAGACCACGAAAAAAGAAAUCCUGGCCUGAAAGGGGACAAGUCAGAGCGGACAGGUAAGUCCUCUCUGCUGCUAGCCAUUGAUUUGAAAAAAGCAAGUAGCGCAAAGGCUGAUAAAGACAUCAGGGAUCAAGUUCAGCCCUCCCUCAAGAUGUUAAAAAACACUGCAACAGAGAUCACUUUCCACGAAGAACCUACAGCCCCGUUUUCUGCAUCCGAGAACAUCACUCACAAAAAAGGACUUCCUGAAGAUUUGCCUAAAUCAGGGGAAGGUCGAAAUAACCCUUCAGAAACUGAGGCAUCUUUAUUUCUUGGCCCAGUGGAACCUUCUUUGUCAAGUCAAGAUAGAAAAUACUGUUCAGCUUUCCCUAAUGAUGUGCAAACCACUUGUGCUAACUUAAGAUUGGACAGAAUUGAUGCCCCAAGACAGAACCUUCGUGUAAAAUUGCAAACUGUUCCUUUCGGGGAUCAUCACAGUUCUCCAGGGGAUCUCGAUUGCGAUGGUAGGAGAGUAAGCACAUCAUGGCCAAGCAGGGUGAGAGUGCCCAAGGCCGGGGAGCCCCUCUCAGGAGUUGCUACUGAUCUUGGUGACACCAGAACUCAGGAAAAGAACACAGAACCACGAAUUGCAGCUUUUAAAGUUAGCCCAUUAGGUGCCAUCCAAGUCAGGGAGAACCAGGACCAAGGACUUAACCUUGCAACAGAGGCACAGGGGAGCAGUGGAAAUGCGGAGAACUGUGUCUUUGUGACAGAAAUACAGCGCUGGGCUCCCUUGAAUGAUGACCCUAAGAAGGCCUUUAGUAUCAAUGAUUCAGUCACGGCGAAGAACCCUCGCGGGGAAGGUCCCAAUAUAGACUUGAUCACGCCGCAGGAGACAGCUUGCAGGGAGCUUCUCUCUGCGUCACAGUCACGCAAUCCAAGUCUUGUCUCCCUGGCAAUACAAUUUCUCCAGGAAGGGAAGGCAGAAGCCUGCAGCCCUGCCGGCAAAGCAUCAGCAGAGCAUGAGGAGCAAGCUUCUCUGGCUCCCAGCUCGGGCUGUCGGCCCCAAGCAUUGCACCCCGGGGGCCAGCUGUCUCUGUGUUCAGCCCAGCCUCAUGCUGCUAAAAACCCCUUGGCCAGGAAGACCCUAUCAAGUGCCCUGGGGCUGGAGUGGUUUCCAGAGCUCUAUCCUGGCUAUCUUGGACUCGGUGUAUUGCCAGGGAAGCCUCAGCUUUGGAGCGCAGUGGCCCAGAAGCCUCUGCUCAUCAGCCCCCAGGGGGAAAGGCUUUCCCAAGGGCCUUCCAGCACCCCGGAUCUGUGACUCUUCUCAGAACCUUGCUGCUUGCUCCCAGGGGUCAGUAAUAACGGUGGUUUGUCACUCUCCCUUCCCCUCCACCAGGAGUUGAAGGUUGGACCGGGACAGGCUGGCCGGUGAUGUUGGUAACAGUUGAACCUCUACACUGCGAGAAGGCAUGACCUCUUCUAGAAGUUGAGUGGGCAUUCAUGCCGAACAGACACAGAAAAAGCAUAGAUUUCAGGGUCUGCCUAAAAACAAGACAAGCCCUGUGCUUAAGAUUUCAUCCAGGACCAGGUUGGACACAAAAUGGACUCCAGGUGUGUGGUCAGCCACAGCAUCCAGCAGCUUAGAGUAGCAAAGAAAUGCAGGGAGCAGGUGUGGGGGUUGCUCUUGGGGCCAGGCCAGGGUUACAGCUGUCCAGGGAGGCAGGGCAGUCAAGGCAGGUGGAAGUGGAGGCUCGGGAUUGAGCUGAUGAAGACGAGGAUGGAAGGUGUGACCAGAAAGGGACAAGUUCACACAUAGGAGAAGUGGUCCACUAUGACCUAAGGAUAGAACCAGAGAUUGAGCCUCAGACACCAGAGACUAGAUGAGAGGGACAGGGUAGGGAGAGCCUGGAAGUCGAAGCUGGCGGGAUCAUGAGUCUCUCUUCCAAAGCUCCCUAGGUCGCUCCUCACUGAUGCCUAGGAUGGUUUAGCCAGGGGGCGGGACGGAGGCCCAGGUAGGAGCCAGUGAUUUCCCAGCAGCCCUCGCAGGUGCCUUUUUUCAGCUGAUUCUCACCUUUAGUAAUCACACUACUCCUCUAGUUAUGAAACACAAAUUGUCUCCGUUUUCCCCACCAAAAUUUUGAAUUACCUUUUCCUUUUUAUUAGGCUUUCUAGAGGCGUGGUCACUGUAGCAUCCGUCUCUUUCUUGUGGCACAUUCUUUGGUGCGUUUGGAUUAUUUUGACCGGAGCCCUGGAACCACUCAGAAUCAGCUUGCCCCUGAAAAGCUUGUAUUAUCUCUUCCCUAAAGGGAUGUAUUUUCACCCACUGGUGUGUUUUGUGAAUGAUCACGUGUGUACUAAAGCCCUGUUUGCCCUUUCUGGAAAGCGUUCUCAUUCGAAGUUUUCCACAUGAAAAGUGCAUUAAGUAACGAGGGUUUCUAGUUGAAAGCUGUGUUUUCUUGAGCUGCCUCUGUAGUUAACCAGGUCUUCUACAGAUGGGGCCAGCAUCUUUUCUCUCUACGGAGAUGCAGUAUCACGCCCUUUCUCCAUGGUAACGUGGAAAUAACACAUUUGUGUUGCUUUGUGGUUUUUGGGGUGCCUCGCCCCUUCUGAUUUUGGCCACACCCCUCUGAGAGGUGGGCAGAGUGGUUUCCUCUGUUUUGCAGCUGAAACAGGCACAGAGGAUAAGGGUCGUGUCCAAGAUCGUGUUGCCAGUAGAACCCAGUCUCCUGAGCCUAGUUUAAACCUUUCAACUCAGCCACAUAGUAGAACAUGCGCCACAACUAGACACCUGGGUGUUGGUUUUAUCUCCGUGCUUCUCUGUGGUUUUCAGUUGCAUACACACACACACAGCCCGUAGCAGAUCUCCAGCAAGUGGAAGGGCUUCUUUAUUUUUUUACUUUCUCUAGUGCUAAUGUGAAUUUUCACUUUAGGGGGAAAAGGGAGGGGACUAAUAACUAUCAAGUGAUGGUUGUUUCUGGUCACAUGCCAGGUAUUGGUAUCUUCUUUGUCCCGCCCUCUGAAUCGUUAGGGUUAGUGACAUCCCACCUUCUCCUAAUAGGUGACGAGUCUGGGCCUCAGGUUUAAGUGACUUGCCCUUGCUCCUCCAAAAGCAGCAUUCGGGGUUCAAAUCCAGGUCUAUCUGGCUAAUAUAUCCAGUCUUUAAACCCAGCAUCAGGCUUACUUGAAGGCAGUUAGUGGUCAAUAAACAUAUAGUUGAUUUAAGUUGUUAGUGAUACCAUCACUUUAAGGUCCCAUUAAGUCCCAAGGUAAGAGAUAGAGUAACUUAUAUCAUCAGAUCACUAGGUUUAUGAAAUUGACUAGGGGGAAAAAUAGUUUUUUCCUUUCAUAAUAAGUUCUUUCGGAAUAGUGGUUAGAACUAUUUUGUUCUCUCUCAUUGAUUACAGUCUGUAAUAUGUGGUUAGUUUGGGUUUCCGGAUCAGGUAAUGCAUGGCCAGCACAGGGCCUGUAGUUCUCUCAUAAACCCCAAAACUAUUGAAGUUGACUCCACCAUUAACCUUCAGACUUUGGUGCUGGCCCUGGAUGAACAGACACAAGCGGAGACGCUGAGAUCUCUGUUAAGGUCAAGGCCUGAUUCCUCAGCUGACCGAGGACUUGAGCAAGGCCAUCCAAAUCUACAAGGACCGAGAAGCAGCGUGACUUCCCCGGGCAGUGGCUGUCUCCAGCGACUGCAGCUUACAUCUGCAUUUCCAGGCAGUCUUUGCAGAAGAUCGUGGUCUCUGUGUGGCCUCGAUCAGCCAGGCCCUUUGAUGGGCCGUUCCCUGCUCAGGGAGCACCUCAUUCCCUUGGUAUUUAAAGGCAGGGCCGGUGAGCUAUCAUUACUCAGUUGACUGCCUACCAGAGGUCAUACCUGCAUGUUUUUCUGAGGUACCUUAAGUUCUGGGAGUUGGAAUUGUUCCUUUUUAUAGAGGAGGACACCGAGUUUCAGAGAGGAGAAGUAGCUUGCCCAGCAUCAAGUUUCUAGCAUUAUCUGAUGGUCCUUGGCAGGCUUUUCUGGACAGUGUUUCUUCUGUUGACUGUAGGCUCCGGGGUGUCAUCAUUUAUCUUUCCUACGUGGAACUACGCCAGUGCAGCUAGCGAGUCCUCCUACGUCAGGGUACCUGAGAAGACUUCAGUGGCCAGUCCACCAGGUGGAAAGUCAUCCAGGACCUUGGUUUUGAAGAAACAGGGUAGAACCAGUAGCACUCAUGGCUGAUUGAUGAAAAAUGGGUAUGUUUGGGUGGUCUGGGCUGGGAACUCCCAAGGCAGACUGAUGGUUCUGAAGAUGCCGCUGAGCUGGGUUUCAGGAGAUCAGGACCAAGAGGACGAGGCUUGUGGGAUUCCGCGCUGCCAGGGGCUGUCUCUUCAGCCUCAGGGAGAAAGAGUCUAGUGGACUUAGUACUGAAGGAGUAGUUUCCUGGCCUUAGAAGAAGUAGCUUUUAGCAGUUCAAGAUUGAAAUCUCAAACUCACCGAGUAGCGGUGUCUGAGAGUCCUCAGCCGUGGCAGAGGGUUUCCGUUGUUCAGAGGAGAGCUCUUAGUGCUGGUCGCCUUGGGAGCAUUCAGCCAGGGGUGCUGGGUGCGCCUUCGCAGAGUUCAGGUCCUUGGCUUUGGGGCUGAAAGUUGAGGAGAUCUAAGUCCCUGGUUCCCAAAUGUAGACAGAACAGUUUCACAUGGUUUUGUGUGUUUGUUUGCUUUUUAGGGCCACACUCGCAGCAUAUGGAGGUUCCCAGGCUAUGGGUCCAAUCGGAACUGUAGCCUCUGGCCUAUGCCGGAGGCACAGAGCCAUAGCAACAUCAGAUCUGAGUGGCGUCUGCGACCUGUACCACAGCUCGUGGCAACGCCGGAUCCUCAACCCACUGAGCGCGGCCAGGGAUUGAAUCUGCAACCCAUGGUUCCCAAGCGGAUUUGUUUCCACUGCGCCAUAACGGGAGCUCCCUUUUUUUUUUUUUUUUUUUUAAUUUAAGAUUCUUAGGCAUCUUCCCUAGAGAUUCUGAAGUAAGUCCUAAGAAUAUUUUCCAGCGCUUCCUAAGUGUUCCUGAAGAUUGGCCAGGUUUGAGAACCGCUGAUGGAGGUGAUGACAGUGGAGGAGGUCCCUCAGACCCAGCUACAGAAAGAAUAUUCUCAAAUGGUGGCAGUGGAGAGGUGGUUGGGGGGCGAGGGGGGGAGUAUAUGUAACUACAAAAGGCAAAACUUGGCUGAUGGGGAUACCAGGAGGUAAAGUGAGAAAACCUUAUAGGGUCGUGGGGUUUUAAAGGGCUUAAAAUAAGGCUCUUCUCUAACUUGCAUACAAGAUUUCCAUCCAUAGAGUAUCCGUUGGAGAUGGGGCACUCGUGGGGAAGGGGCUCAGAAUCAGCACGGUGAGCAGGAAGCAGACAGGCCAGAGCUAGACCCCCUGAUAGCCAGAGAAGUCUGUAAAGGGAGCGUUUUAGAAAAGAGCGUGUGAGUCCUCAGCAGCCAGAGGCGUAAGGGGUAAGUCCAGCCCUACUGCUGGGAUCCCGUCUAGGGCGAGGGGAACAGAAGAUGUUACAGGUACAGAGGGCGGAUGAGGGCUUUCAGCAUUCGUGUUAGUGGAACCAUUGUCGCUGAGUUUGAAAUGUAAGGACAUCAGCGCUGGCAGGUGAAGGAGGAUGUGUAGGAGAUGUGGCGGCUGAGGGGUGGCAGUGGGUAGUGGCCGUCCAGGGCUCCCAGCCAGUCCCAGAGGGCUGGCGAUCAGCACCCACAGCCCCUGGGCAGCAGGCAGGGGGGCUUUGAAAAAGGUUGCAGCAGGAUUUUGUGGGAUCUGAGCUUGGCUCUCGGGGGCCGGCGGGGCUCGGGCUGCUAACAUAUCCCAGCUCAGGGCCUGAUCCAGUGACUAAACCUCUAAUGAGUAAGUGGGCUCAGCUGGCUGGAGAAAGACUGAGGAGCCGCCGAGCUCCUGACACUGCGGGGCAAGUGGUUGCACAGUUGCAGCUGUCAUGGAGCGUUUCUCCCCAUCCUCACAGUUUUUUCAAGAUGCAUGGGUGAGGUUGUGUGCUCAUACUGAUCUUCACUUUGCAAGAGAGACAUCUUUUGUGUAAUUUCUUAGAAACCAGCCUGGGUUUGUUUUGUUUUGGCUUUUUAGGGCCGCACCCACGGCAUGUGGAGGUUCCCAGGGUAGGGGUCGAAUCAGAGCUGUAGCUGCCAGUCUACGCCAGAGUCACAGCAACACGGGAUCCAGGCCACAUCUGUGACCUACACCACAGCUCACGGCAACGCUGGAUCCCUAACCCAGUGAGCGAGGCCAGGGAUAAAACCCACAACCUCAUGGUUCUUAGUCGAAUUCGUUAACCACUAUGGGAUUACCCGACUUAGUCAGAUUUGAGCCACAAUGGGAACUCAUUCUUUUUUUUUUUUUUUUUUCCCUUCCCUGCUUUUUAGUGCCGCACUUGCAGCAAAUGGAAGUUCCCAGGCUAGGGAUCAAAUCGGAGCUGUAGCUGCUGGCCUACACCACAGCUCAUGGCAACGCUAGGUCCUUAACCCACUGAGCGAAGCCAGGGAUCAAACCUGCAUCCUCACGGAUAGUUGGGUCCGUUACCAUUGAGCCACAACAGAAACUCCUGUUUUCAUUUUUAAUAUAUUCAUCAUCACUGGAAGAAUGUUUUUUGUUUUUUUGUUUUGUUUUUGUUUUUUUUAUUUUUGUCUUUUUGUUGUUAUUGUUGUUGCUAUUUCUUGAGCCGCUCCCGCGGCAUAUGGAGGUUCCCAGGCUAGGGGUCCAGUCGGAGCUGUAGCCACUGACCUACGCCAGAGCCACAGCAACAUAGGAUCCGAGCUGCGUCUGCAACCUACACCACAGCUCAUGGCAACGCCAGAUCGUUAACCCACUGAGCAAGGGCAGGAACCGAACCCGCAACCUCAUGGUUCCUAGUCGGAUUCGUUAACCACUGCGCCAUGACGGGAACUCCCUGGAAGAAUGUUUUUAUAUCCACAGCAACCUUUACCACACCUAAACCUUGUAAAUAGUUCCUUAAUUUAUCCUGUGCCCUGAUGAGCCACACCAAGACCAGAGAAUCCGCAGUAGUAGAGGAGGAUUUCCUGUGUGUCAUUAACAUGGAAAAUAACACGGGCAGUGAAAAUGCAAAUACGCAGCCUAAACCCUCUUUGCUGGUUCUACUUAGUUAUUCAUGUGUUGAACAUAAAUUCAUGUGUUUGCUGGUCAGCGGUAGUGAUGGGAGGAAUAGAGCAGGCAUUGGGGGUAGUGACAAGUAGCAGUCGUUAACCCCACGGUAGAAAGUCAUGCUUUUCGCUAAGAUGUUUAGCAGACAAUAGGAAGUAUAAAUGAUUCAUUUCAUAAGCACGUACAUGUGGAUCGUCUGGGCAGUAUACUCAUCAGAUCAGAAAUGGAUCUGGGUCCUGAUCCCCAGGGUCCCUUGGUCUGUUGAAGAACCUUUAUUUGACCUAGAAGAGACCACUUUACCCUUCAGUGCUUACAAGUUAGCCACAGCCCGAUGCAGAGAUUAAUCCACCUAUUUAGAAUAGACUUUUCCUGCAGCCUUGCCCUGGGAACCUCAGGCCUGAGCGUUGGGGAAGAGGAUGGAGUUAGAUGAACUGUCACAGUGACUUCUGUUUGGAACCCUAGUUCCUUUGUUGGAAAGAAGUUCGACGGCAGUAAGGAGUUUGGAACCCUCGACCGAGCUCACAGCCUCCAGCUUCUCUCUAUUGAGGAUCUUGGGAGCUGUCCAGAAAGGCUGGAUCAGGUGCAGCACCACUAUGAAGAGCGGGGUCGGAGGCAUCACGAUGCUCUUCGCAGGGUACUUCGUCCUUUGUUGUAGCUGGAGCUUCAAGCAUCUGAAGCUGCAGCGCUGGCGUAAGCAGCACUGACCUGGACACCACUUAGAGAGCUUUGGCGCCCCAAGAAGAGGAUGGUGGAGACAGCGGCAGUGCCUCUUGAACAGCGCAAAAUUGUAUGGGGGCAGGGAGAGGGAGCGAAAGGAAUAAACUAUUGGAAUUUAACAAUUA